rnacentral:rRNA from 1 species
GCNGUCGACGAUUCUACGGGAGGCAGCAGUGGGGAAUAUUGGACAAUGGGGGCAACCCUGAUCCAGCCAUGCCGCGUGAGUGAAGAAGGCCCUAGGGUUGUAAAGCUCUUUCAGGUGUGAGGAUGAUGACAGUAGCACCAGAAGAAGCCCCGGCUAACUUCGUGCCAGCAGCCGCGGUAAUACGAAGGGGGCUAGCGUUGUUCGGAUUUACUGGGCGUAAAGGGCGUGUAGGCGGACGAUCAAGCUAGGGGUGAAAGCCCAGGGCCCAACCCUGGAAUUGCCCUUAGAACUGGUUGUCUAGAAUCCGUAAGGGGAGUGUGGAAUUCCUAGUGUAGAGGUGAAAUUCGUAGAUAUUAGGAAGAACACCAGUGGCGAAGGCGGCACUCUGGUACGGUAUUGACGCUGAGGCGCGAAAGCGUGGGGAGCAAACAGGAUUAGAUACCCUGGUAGUCCACGCCGUAAACGAUGUCUGCUAGCCGUUUGGGCACUUAGUGUCUGGGUGGCGCCGCUAACGCAUUAAGCAGACCGCCUGGGGAGUACGGUCGCAAGAUUAAAACUCAAAUGAAUUGACGG